GGCUGGUCCGAAGGUAGUGAGUUAUCUCACGUGAUUGUUCACAGUCAGUUACAGAUUGAACUCCUUAUUCUACUACUUUCCCUCUCCUCACUCCUCCACUUGACUAGUCCUUA
ensembl:misc_RNA Y_RNA Y RNA